UACAGAGGGGCAAGCGUUAUUCGGAAUUAUUGGGCGUAAAGGCGCGUAGGCGGCCAUUCAAGUGACGGGUGAAAGCCCUCGGCUUAACCGAGGAGCUGCCUGUCAGACUGGAUGGCUUGAGACCGGGAGAGGUGAGUGGAAUCCCAGUGUAGCGGUGAAUGCGUAGAUAUCUGGAGGAUACCGGUGGCGAAGGCGGCAUCCUGACCGGCAU
rnacentral:rRNA from 1 species